GGAGUUAGCCGGUGCUUCUUCUGCGAGUAACGUCACAGAUGUAAGGUAUUAACUUACACCCUUUCCUCCUCGCUGAAAGUGCUUUACAACCCGAAGGCCUUCUUCACAUACGCGGCAUGGCUGCAUCAGGGUUUCCCCCAUUGUGCAAUAUUCCCCACUGCUGCCUCCCGUAGGAGUCUGGGCCGUGUCUCAGUCCCAGUGUGGCUGAUCAUCCUCUCAGACCAGCUAGGGAUCGUCGCCUAGGUGAGCCUUUACCUCACCUACUAGCUAAUCCCACCUGGGCUUAUCCAUCAGCGCAAGGCCCGAAGGUCCCCUGCUUUCCCCCGUAGGGCGUAUGCGGUAUUAGCAGUCGUUUCCAACUGUUAUCCCCCACAAAUGGGCAAAUUCCCAGGCAUUACUCACCCGUCCGCCGCUCGUCAUCUUCAAAAGCAAGCUUUUGAAAUGUUACCGCUCGACUUGCAUGUGUUAGGCCUGCCGCCAGCGUUCAAUCUGAGCCAGGAUCAAACUCUGA
rnacentral:rRNA from 1 species